GACAAAGUAGCACAAUUGGUAGUGCACAAGAUUGUGGCUCUUGCGGUUGUGGGUUCGAGUCCCAUCUUUGUCC
rnacentral:tRNA from 1 species